AGAGAGACAUAUUUCUCCAUUGCCUCCAUUUUUGACCAAGUAGCAUGCAAGUUGACUAAGCCAAAUUUACUUCCUCUUGUUUCUUUUCUUUAGCUCAACCACCGAGAGAAAGAAAAACAAAGACAAACAAGACUGCUCACUUGUUUUGUCCCACCUUAGCCGAGAGAGAGUAGAGAGAGUUGAGAGGAAAAGGUUGUGGCUUGCACCCACCUUCCAGCCGAGAGAAAAUUUGGGGAAAACAAAGAAAUUUCCCUUGUUUUGUUUCCACUUCAGCCAAGAGGAACCAGCGAGAGAAAACUGAAAGGAAGCUUGAGUCUUGUUUCCAUUUCCAACUUGUUUGAUCGAGUAGAAGGACCAAAACAGGGGAGUUAACUUCUAGCUUGUUUUAAAGAUUUGGACUCCAACCAAGGAGUUGGACCUGAAUGUGACUUUUGAGAGGCACUAGACCUUUGGUGAGUGCUUCCAAAUACCUAAUUGAACUGGACACUAGUUUUAAUAUUUGACCAAUAUGGUCGAAUGAUAUGUGAUUGGUAUGAUCGAGCAAGGGUGUACUUUAUCGCACUUGCCCUAAUGUGAUAUGUACUUGUUUAUUGUUGCAAUUGAUUUGAGAUACUUGUA